CUCCUCUAUUAUGAACCUCAAGGUCUGACACACCUUUUCAGCAAACAAUUCCUGAGACCUUAACAAAUUCAGUAUGGGCUUUUCCGGAACAAGAACUUACUGAAUUUUGAUGCCUCUGCACCCAAGUGUGUGGCCUAGUGGUCAAUGAUGUUAGAACCCGUAUUUUUGUACAGUGGAAUAAUCCGUAUUUAUUUAUGAUAAGCUAAGGACAAAAUUAUUUUGGGAUACAAAGUCGGGAUUCUUGACCUUCGAUUUUAUUUUGAGAUAUAAGUUGUGCAUGAAUUUAUUGGUAUGGAACAAUUAGGAAAAAAAUUCGGGACCAAAAGUGAUAAAAAUUGGAAGAUAAAAAUCAUCCACAAUUUCCAUGGUUGGCCCACACAAAUGGUGUUCAAUUUUAAUUGGGACAACACAUUAGUGUGGGCCAAGGGGCAAGUGUACAAUUCAUUUAAGUAUUAAAAGAUGACCACAAUUUUAUUUCACUUCAUUUGCUUCAUUCACCACACUUGAACAAAAAGAAAGUUGAAGACCCUCCAUUGAAGGCUCUCGGCCAACAGCCCUGAAAAUUCACUUCCAUUUUUAGCUCUCCAAAAAUUAAUUUCUUGGUGUUAAACCACUAAUUAGAGGUCCCUAAGUAACUUGGAAGCAUUGUUGGGGUGAUCAAGUCCUUCAUUCAAGAGAUUGGAAAACCCUAGCCUAUUAAAAGUUGAAGAGAAAAAGAUCGUGGGCAGCCCGAAUCAUAGGUUGGAUUUAGCUUGAGUUUGGAUCGUAUUGGAGAGCGUUUGAGGUACGGACGCACAGCCUGGUGAUCCACCUGUUUAGGACACCCUUUCUGCUAUUCGGAGUGCUCCUCUCUUUCCGGAGCUUAUACUUUUGGUAUAUAUAUUUAUUAGUGCAUUUGUAUAUAUUCGUUCAUGGGUACAGCGGGGCCCUGUCCCGUCAUAUGAUUCUGUCGGUCUGUUUAGAGGUCUGUGGACAUGUUUGUGGGUUAGGGUCUUUCUGUAUGGAUAGGUGUAUAUGUUGUUUGGGCGAUCCCAUACGCCGAGGCGGCCGGUCCGCAUAUGUUUAUACGUUACUUUGCUAGCCCUGUGUGGCCUUUGUUGGUGUUUGCUGUGUACAGGGUUAUUUUGGAUAGUCUGUAAAACAGAGGAAACUCUGCCGAAAUUUUUCUGGGAAUUGUCUAAAUUUAGAAUAUAGCCUCGUCGGCUUCUGGUAUAUACUUGAAUGCAUUUGAUAGAUGGGUUUGGGUACCCAGAUCGGGCACUAGUCACGGCCUACGGUGUUGGGUCGUGACAAAUGAAGUGGGUUGAGAACCAUCGGGUCUCAGGUUCAAAUUGCAGCAGAGACAAAAACACUGGGUGAUUUCUUCCCAUCUGUCCUAGCCUUGGUGGAUAGAGUUACCCGGUACCUCUUGUUAGUAGGAGGCGGCAGGUACCCCGUGAAAUUAGUCAACGUGUGCCCAAGCUGGCCCGACACCACGGUUAUCCAAAAAAAAAAAAAGAAGAAUUUUAAUGCCUCCUUUCACCUAAAUACCCACCCAACUGUCAUAAUUUUUGGCAAGGCUGACUGGGACAAGACAUCAGUGUGGAUUGAAGCUAUGAUGCACAG